AAACUAGGUUUUAACCCGCGGUUU
rnacentral:siRNA from 1 species